GGGUAAGCUGGGUUUGUCUGAGGGGCUCUGUCUUCCAGGAGCUCACCUUUUCAAAAGGUGUGAGGGAAGGAAGGAGGCUAUAGGCCCAAUAAGCAGUUGGCAUUUCCUGACAAUUGUUUCAAACACAAAGCCAGCAGGAGCUGCUCCCAGCGAGCCCCGCUUCUCCCCAUAAUCUAGCCUUGGGUAACAGGCUUCUCCCAGGAGAUCACUGUUCUCAGUCCCUGGCAAGAGCUGGCCCCAUGGGGAGUGCUUUGUUGAUAGUGCCCAGUGCCCAGCAACCAGGCUGGGUUUGGGAAGGAGGCUGGAGUCUUCAGGAGGAAGGUCCUGCCCAAGAUGGUGCAGAGGGUGGUUCCCAUGGAUGCUCCUCUCCUCGCCUCCACACAGGAGAGGAAUGAACCUUGUUCCCAGCUGGAACCCCUCUCUGGAUUCCAGCCCCUGAAGUGUGGCCCCUCCCAGAGGAAGCCAGAGGGAGUCAGCGCCUGGGACCAAGAUCAAGGACCACCUGGUAUUCCUCUCCCUAUGACUUGGAAAUUCCACCAGCUAAACACUGCCAACAACCAGUGGCUUCCCAUCUGGCCUACAGUAAAAACCUAAGAUCCUUAGGAUGCCUACAGGGCUCUUGGUGAUCUCCUUCUCCACAGCCCCUCCUCCAUCCCCCACCCCACUUCUUGUUAUCUCUUUGACAUCAUCUCCUACAACUCUUCCUAAGUCUAGAUUUGAGCUUCUCAAACUUGGCACUCUGGACGUUUUGGGAAGGAUCAUUCUUUGGAGAAUGUGGAGACCGUCCCGUGCAUUGUAGGAUGUUGAACAGCAUCCUUGACUCUCAUAGUGCACACUCCCAUCCCAGCUGUGACAACCCAAAAUGUUUCCAGACAUGGCCAGAUGUCCCCUGCGGGGAGAGGAGCAAAAUGGCCCUGUGAGGACCACUGGUCUAGACCACUCCCGCCAGCCCUGCUGCCCUCCUUGCUGUUCACACUACUACUUCCAGGUCCUUGCACUUGCUCUUCCCUCUACAGGGGUCUCCCCUGCACUUCUUUCUGGUCUUUACUCAAAUGUCACCUGCUCGGUGAGAUCUUACCCAACCAUCCUAUUUAAAAUUGCAACCCAUCCUAAUCAUCCCUAAAACAUUUCCCUCCUUAAUUUUUCUCCAUAGCAUUUAUCACUGUUAGGCAUUCCACAAGUCUUACUCAUUUUUAGUGUCUAUUUACUUCCAUCCAGUAGGAUGUAGCUCUCUGAGGGUGAGAUUUUGUUUGUUUGAUGUUUUGUUUUGGUCUUCUCUGUCCACUGCUGUAUCUCUGGACUUAGAACAAUGACUGGCACACAAAAGGCACUCAAUAAAUAUUCAAUGGAUGGGUGGAUGGCUGGGACAGCUCAAAUUCCUUUCUACCUCAGAAGCUGGUGGGUCAAGAGAGAAGAUAAGCCUGUGUCACUUCUCCAGUGAAUCCAUGGUGUCAUGGAUUCGCUGAAGCCAUGUGUCGGGGUGGACUCUAUACUGGGCCUUUAAGCACUUUACCUCCUCCCACACCAGAGUUUUUUUUUUCUCUCUCUCUCCUUUUUCCUGUCUUUGUUUCUUUUCUUUUUCUUCUCUCCUCUCCUCUUCUCUUUUUCCUUUUGCUUCUCAUAGUCUUGCUCUGUCACCCAGGCUGGAAUACAGUGGCAUAAUCAUGGCUCACUGAAGCCUCAAACUCCUGGGCUCAAAUGAUCCUCCAGCCUCAGCCUCCCAAGUAGCUGGGACUACAGGUGUACACCACCACGUUCAGCUAAUUUUUUUUCCCAUCUUUUUAGAGACAGGGUCUCCUAUGUUGCCCAGGCCGGUCUUGAACUCCUGGCCUCAAGUGGUCAUCCCACCUCAGCCUCUCAAGUAGCUGGAAUUACAGGUGAGAGCCACUGUACUUGGCAAGAGUUUUAUUUAAUUGCCCUUCUUGAGAGAAUAGUGGAAAAUUAUGUGGGACAGGGGCUUUCAGAGCUGGCUAUGAAAAGCAGUCAUUUCUUCUUUUCUUUUUUUCCCCUCUCACAUUCUUUUUAUAGCUGUAUGUAUCAUGCAUGUGCAACCUCAUGUUACCCCUGCCCUUUGGUAAGAAGCCUAUGUUUACAUAUAUAUAUAUUUUACUUAUAUAAUAAUAAUCGUUUAUCUUUUCUGAGUGCUUCCUGAAUGCCAAGUAUUGUGCUAAGUAUAGGGACCCCUUCAUUUAACCCUCCAAACAACACUAUAAGUCUAGUUUUAUUGUUAUUGUCAACUGCUUCUGCAGAUAAACUGCCAUAGCUUCAGUAUCUGAUGCAGAAACACAUAGACACAUAUCUGAAUUUGAAGCCAAACAAGGCUGAGCAUGGUGGCUCAUGCCUGUAAUCCCAACACUUUAGGAGGCCGAGGCAGGAGGAUUGCUUGAGCUCAGGAGUUUGAGACCAGCCUGGCCAUGCAGUGAAAUCU
rnacentral:lncRNA from 1 species